rnacentral:rRNA from 1 species
GACGAACGCUGGCGGCGUGCCUAAUACAUGCAAGUCGAACGAACGGAUAAAGAGCUUGCUCUUUUGACGUUAGUGGCGGACGGGUGAGUAACACGUGGGUACCCUGCCUCACAGCUGGGUAUAACAUCGAGAAAUCGAUGCUAAUACCGAAUGUGCUGCACAUCAUAAGAUGUUCAAGGGAAAUACGGUCUCGGCUGUCACUGCGAGAUGCACCCGGGCUGGAUUAGCUAGUUGGUAAGGUAAUGGCUUACCAAGGCGACGAUCCAUAGACGACCGGAGAGGGUGAUCGCCGACAUGGGGACGGAGACACGGACCAUGCUCCUGCGGGAGGCAGCAGUAGGGAAUCGUCGGCAAUAGACGAAAGUCUGACCGAGCAACGCCGCGUGAGCGAAGAAGGCCUUCGGGUCGUAAAGCUCUGUUGUGAGUGAAGAACAUGGGUGGGAGGAACUGAUCACCCAUUGACGGUAACGAGUCAGAAAGCAACGGCUAACUACGUG